rnacentral:rRNA from 1 species
CCCGGCGCACGGUGAGUAACGCGUAUGCAACUUACCUAUCAGAGGGGGAUAACCCGGCGAAAGUCGGACUAAUACCGCAUGAAGCAGGGAUCCCGCAUGGGAAUAUUUGCUAAAGAUUCAUCGCUGAUAGAUAGGCAUGCGUUCCAUUAGGCAGUUGGCGGGGUAACGGCCCACCAAACCGACGAUGGAUAGGGGUUCUGAGAGGAAGGUCCCCCACAUUGGUACUGAGACACGGACCAA